CCUACGGGCGGCAGCAGUAGGGAAUCUUCCACAAUGGGCGCAAGCCUGAUGGAGCAACACCGCGUGAGUGAAGAAGGUCUUCGGCUCGUAAAGCCCUGUUGUUGGAGAAGAACGUGCGUGAGAGUAACUGUUCACGCAUUGACGGUAUCUAACCAGAAAGCCACGGCUAACUACGUGCCAGCAGCCGCGGUAAUACGUAGGUGGCAAGCGUUAUCCGGAUUUAUUGGGCGUAAAGCGAACGCAGGCGGUCGUUUAGGUCUGAUGUGAAAGCCUUCGGCUUAACCGAAGAAGUGCAUCGGAAACCGGGCGACUUGAGUGCAGAAGAGGACAGUGGAACUCCAUGUGUAGCGGUGGAAUGCGUAGAUAUAUGGAAGAACACCAGUGGCGAAAGCGGCUGUCUGGUCUGCAACUGACGCUGAGGCUCGAAAGCGUGGGUAGCGAACAGGAUUAGAUACCCGAGUAGUC
rnacentral:rRNA from 1 species